GACGAACGCUGGCGGCGUGCCUAAUACAUGCAAGUAGGACGCACAGUCUAUACCGUAGCUUGCUACACCAUAGGCUGUGAGUUGCGAACGGGUGAGUAACGCGUAGGUAACCUGCCUAUUGGAGGGGGAUAACUAUUGGAAACGAUAGCUAAUACCGCAUAACAGUAUGUAACACAUGUUAGAUGCUUGAAAGAUGCAAUUGCAUCGCUAGUAGAUGGACCUGCGUUGUAUUAGCUAGUAGGUAGGGUAAUGGCCUACCUAGGCGACGAUACAUAGCCGACCUGAGAGGGUGAUCGGCCACACUGGGACUGAGACACGGCCCAGACUCCUACGGGAGGCAGCAGUAGGGAAUCUUCGGCAAUGGGGGGAACCCUGACCGAGCAACGCCGCGUGAGUGAAGAAGGUUUUCGGAUCGUAAAGCUCUGUUGUUAAGGAAGAACGAGUGUGAGAAUGGAAAGUUCAUACUGUGACGGUACUUAACCAGAAAGGGACGGCUAACUACGUG
rnacentral:rRNA from 1 species